rnacentral:rRNA from 1 species
AGUUCGGAUCGCAGUCUGCAACUCGACUGCGUGAAGGUGGAGUCGCUAGUAAUCGCGGAUCAGCAACGCCGCGGUGAAUGCGUUCCCGGGCCUUGUACACACCGCCCGUCAAGCCAUGGAAGCCGGGAGUGCCUGAAGUGCGUGAGCGCAAGCAGCGCCCUAAGGUAAAACCGGUGACUGGGGCUAAGUCGUAACAAGGUACC